rnacentral:rRNA from 1 species
UACAGGGGGGGCAAGCGUUGUUCGGAAUUACUGGGCGUAAAGGGUGCGUAGGCGGCUUUCUAAGUUGGAUGUGAAAACUAUGGGCUCAACCCAUAGCCUGCAUCCAAAACUGGAGAGCUUGGGUUCUGGAGGGGGAAAGCGGAAUUCCUGGUGUAGCGGUGAAAUGCGUAGAUAUCAGGAGGAACACCGGUGGCGAAGGCGGCUUUCUGGACAGAUACCGACGCUGAGGCACGAAAGCUAGGGGAGCAAACAGG